AGCAGCCGCGGUAAUUCCAGCUCCAAUAGCGUAUAUUAAAGUUGUUGCAGUUAAAAAGCUCGUAGUUGAAUUUCGGGAUCAGUAGGUUGGUCAUGCCACUGGUAUGUACUGGUCUCACUGAUUCCUCCUUCCUGAUGAACCGUAAUGCCAUUAAUUUGGUGUUGCGGGGAGACUGGACUGUUACUUUGAAAAAAUUAGAGUGUUUAAAGCAGGCUAACGCUUGAAUACAUUAGCAUGGAAUAAUGAAAUAGGACGUUCGAUCCUAUUUUGUUGGUUUCUAGGAUUGACGUAAUGAUUAAUAGGGAUAGUUGGGGGCAUUAGUAUUCAAUUGUCAGAGGUGAAAUUCUUGGAUUUAUUGAAGACUAACUACUGCGAAAGCAUUUGCCAAGGAUGUUUUCAUUAAUCAAGAACGAAAGUUAGGGGAUCGAAGACGGUCAGAUACCGUCGUAGUCUUAACCAUAAACUAUGCCGACUAGGGAUCGGAUGAUGUUAAUUUUAUAAUGACUCAUUC
rnacentral:rRNA from 1 species